rnacentral:rRNA from 1 species
UACGUAGGUGGCAAGCGUUGUCCGGAUUUACUGGGCGUAAAGAGCGCGCAGGCGGUCGUUCAAGUCGCGUGUGAAAGCCCCCGGCUCAACUGGGGAGGGUCACGCGAUACUGAUCGACUCGAAGGCAGGAGAGGGUAGUGGAAUUCCCGGUGUAGUGGUGAAAUUCGUAGAUAUCGGGAGGAACACCAGUGGCGAAGGCGGCGACCUGGGCCAAUAUUGACGCUGAGGUGCGAAAGCGUGGGGAGCAAACAGG